rnacentral:rRNA from 1 species
GAUGAACGCUGGCGGCGUGCCUAAUACAUGCAAGUCGAGCGAACGGACGAGAAGCUUGCUUUUCUGAUGUUAGCGGCGGACGGGUGAGUAACACGUGGAUAACCUACCUAUAAGACUGGGAUAACUUCGGGAAACCGGAGCUAAUACCGGAUAAUAUUUUGAACCGCAUGGUUCAAAAGUGAAAGACGGUCUUGCUGUCACUUAUAGAUGGAUCCGUGCUGCAUUAGCUAGUUGGUAAGGUAACGGCUUACCAAGGCAACGAUGCAUAGCCGACCUGAGAGGGUGAUCGGCCACACUGGAACUGAGACACGGUCCAGACUCCUACGGGAGGCAGCAGUAGGGAAUCUUCCGCAAUGGGCGAAAGCCUGACGGAGCAACGCCGCGUGAGUGAUGAAGGUCUUCGGAUCGUAAAACUCUGUUAUUAGGGAAAAACAUAUGUGUAAGUAACUGUGCACAUCUUGACGGUACCUAAUCAGAAAGCCACGGCUAACUACGUG